GAUGAACGCUGGCGGCGUGCCUAAUACAUGCAAGUCGAGCGAAUGGAUUAAGAGCUUGCUCUUAUGAAGUUAGCGGCGGACGGGUGAGUAACACGUGGGUAACCUGCCCAUAAGACUGGGAUAACUCCGGGAAACCGGGGCUAAUACCGGAUAACAUUUUGAACCGCAUGGUUCGAAAUUGAAAGGCGGCUUCGGCUGUCACUUAUGGAUGGACCCGCGUCGCAUUAGCUAGUUGGUGAGGUAACGGCUCACCAAGGCAACGAUGCGUAGCCGACCUGAGAGGGGGGUCGGCGACACUGGGACUAAAGCACGGCCCCGACUGCUACGGGAGGAAGCAGUAGGGAAUUUUCCGCAAUGGACGAAAGUCUGACGGAGCAACUCCGCGUGAGUGAUGAAGGCUUUCGGGUCGUAAAACUCUGUUGUUAGGGAAGAACAAGUGCUAGUUGAAUAAGCUGGCACCUUGACGGUACCUAACCAGAAAGCCACGGCUAACUACGUGCCAGCAGCCGCGGUAA
rnacentral:rRNA from 1 species